rnacentral:rRNA from 1 species
GUUUGAUCCUGGCUCAGGACGAACGCUGGCGGCGUGCUUAACACAUGCAAGUCGAACGGAAAGGCCCUGCUUGCAGGGUGCUCGAGUGGCGAACGGGUGAGUAACACGUGGGUGAUCUGCCCCUUACUUUGGGAUAAGCCUGGGAAACUGGGUCUAAUACUGGAUAGGACCAUGCUGUAGGUGGUGUGGUGGAAAGAUUUUUUCGGUAAGGGAUGAGCUCGCGGCCUAUCAGCUUGUUGGUGGGGUAAUGGCCUACCAAGGCGUCGACGGGUAGCCGGCCUGAGAGGGUGGACGGCCACAUUGGGACUGAGAUACGGCCCAGACUCCUACGGGAGGCAGCAGUGGGGAAUAUUGNACAAUGGGNGCAANCCUGAUNCAGCNANGCCGCGUGNNNGANGACGGCCUUCGGGUUGUAAACCGCUUUUGAUUGGGAGCAAGCGAGAGUGAGUGUACCUUUCGAAUAAGCACCGGCUAACUACGUGCCAGCAGCCGCGGUAAUACGUAGGGUGCAAGCGUUAUCCGGANUUAUUGGGCGUAAAGAGCUCGUAGGCGGUUCGUCGCGUCUGGUGUGAAAGUCCAUCGCUUAACGGUGGAUCGGCGCCGGGUACGGGCGGACUGGAGUGCGGUAGGGGAGACUGGAAUUCCCGGUGUAACGGUGGAAUGUGUAGAUAUCGGGAAGAACACCGAUGGCGAAGGCAGGUCUCUGGGCCGUCACUGACGCUGAGGAGCGAAAGCGUGGGGAGCGAACAGGAUUAGAUACCCUGGUAGUCCACGCCGUAAACGGUGGAUGCUGGAUGUGGGGCCCGUUCCACGGGUUCCGUGUCGGAGCUAACGCGUUAAGCAUCCCGCCUGGGGAGUACGGCCGCAAGGCUAAAACUCAAAGAAAUUGACGGGGGCCCGCACAAGCGGCGGAGCAUGCGGAUUAAUUCGAUGCAACGCGAAGAACCUUACCUGGGUUUGACAGGAACUGGUGGAGGUCGC